rnacentral:rRNA from 1 species
AUUGAACGCUGGCGGCAUGCCUUACACAUGCAAGUCGAACGGUAGCGGGCCUUCGGGUGCCGACGAGUGGCGAACGGGUGAGUAAUGCAUCGGAACGUGCCAUUGAGUGGGGGAUAACGUAGCGAAAGUUACGCUAAUACCGCAUAUUCUGUGAGCAGGAAAGCAGGGGACCGCAAGGCCUUGCGCUCUUUGAGCGGCCGAUGUCAGAUUAGCUAGUUGGUGAGGUAAAGGCUUACCAAGGCGACGAUCUGUAGCGGGUCUGAGAGGAUGAUCCGCCACACUGGAACUGAGACACGGUCCAGACUCCUACGGGAGGCAGCAGUGGGGAAUUUUGGACAAAUGGGGGGCAACCCUGAUCCAGCCAUGCCGCGUGAGUGAAGAAGGCCU